UCGUACAAAAGAGGUGCAUGAGGCUGUCGCUGACCCUCAAAGGGUCGUGCACGCCCCGUGUGCUUCCACACAAUCCAUCUCACCCCUUUGUGCAUCACCGCGUGGGUCCCUCCUUUGCGGGAAGGGCCUACGUUUUUAUCAUAAAACUUGAUACAGUGUGGAAUGUUUAUUUUUGCGGUCAUACGCAAUCAAUA
rnacentral:misc_RNA from 1 species